UACGAAGGUCUCAAGCGUUGUUCGGAUUCAUUGGGCGUAAAGGGUGCGUAGGCGGCGCGGUAAGUCGGGUGUGAAAUCUCGGGGCUUAACUCCGAAACUGCAUUCGAUACUGCCGUGCUCGAGGACUGGAGAGGAGACUGGAAUUUACGGUGUAGCGGUGAAAUGCGUAGAUAUCGUAAGGAAGACCAGUGGCGAAGGCGGGUCUCUGGACAGUUCCUGACGCUGAGGCACGAAGGUCAGGGGAGCAAACGGG
rnacentral:rRNA from 1 species